CACAAGAGUUGACACGAGUUGGAUUUUGGUCACGCGUAAAGCUCAUCCUCAGAUUCAUUGCCCUAGCAGUCUCCUCCACUGGAUUUCCCUGUUUAGAGAGCUCUUUCAUGCACCAUAGAUAUUGCCUCAUUAGCAACUUGGUUCACUUCAUUGGACACAUACUUUAAAUAUUCUGAGAUAUUUUUUGCUGAACAAAAGUUUACCUUGGCCUGUCUCUGGUAAACAAAAUGCGCAGCUUGAGGCACCAGAGUUGCACAUGGAGAUCCACAAGCAUGGGCUUGGUCAACAGACUAUGGAUGGGCAUCUUUUACUU